GUUCCAAAAACAUUAAACUGGGAUUUAUCAGGCUUUCUUGUUAUCAACUUUAUGCACUCGUGGAAUGGUAAAAGGUUACCCUGCAUUUCCACUACUUCAAGUGUACUGAGGACCAAAUUCUUGGUAGAGUUGAUGAAGUACCAGGAGAAUGAAUGUAAUGACAAUAUU